UCCGGUUUGGCACCGGCAUUCCAGUGCAUGUCAAGCCUUGGUAAGGUUCUUCGCGUUGCGUCGAAUUGAACCACAUGCUCCGCUGCUUGUGCGGGCCCCCGUCAAUUCCUUUGAGUUUUAGCCUUGCGGCCGUACUCCCCAGGCGGGGUGCUUAAUGCGUUAGCUUCGGCACGGACGGAGUUGACACCGCCCACACCUAGCACCCAUCGUUUACGGCGUGGACUAC
rnacentral:misc_RNA from 1 species